rnacentral:rRNA from 1 species
AUUGAACGCUGGCGGCAGGCCUAACACAUGCAAGUCGAACGGUAACAGGAAACAGCUUGCUGUUUCGCUGACGAGUGGCGGACGGGUGAGUAGUGUCUGGGAAACUGCCUGAUGGAGGGGGAUAACUACUGGAAACGGUAGCUAAUACCGCAUAACGUCGCAAGACCAAAGAGGGGGACCUUCGGGCCUCUUGCCAUCGGAUGUGCCCAGAUGGGAUUAGCUAGUAGGUGGGGUAACGGCUCACCUAGGCGACGAUCCCUAGCUGGUCUGAGAGGAUGACCAGCCACACUGGAACUGAGACACGGUCCAGACUCCUACGGGAGGCAGCAGUGGGGAAUAUUGCACAAUGGGCGCAAGCCUGAUGCAGCCAUGCCGCGUGUAUGAAGAAGGCCUUCGGGUUGUAAAGUACUUUCAGCGGGGAUGAAGGGAGUAAGGUUAAUACCUUUGCUCAUUGACGUUACCCGCAGAAGAAGCACCGGCUAACUCCGUG